rnacentral:rRNA from 1 species
AUACGGAGGAUCCGAGCGUUAUCCGGAUUUAUUGGGUUUAAAGGGUGCGCAGGCGGCCAUUUAAGUCAGCGGUUAAAUCGUGGGGCUCAACCCCAUUCUGCCGUUGAUACUGGGUGGCUUGAUUGCGGUCGAGGUUGGCGGAAUUCGUUGUGUAGCGGUGAAAUGCAUAGAUAUGACGAAGAACACCGAUUGCGUAGGCAGCUGACCAGACCGCAAAUGACUCUCAUGCACGAAAGUGCGGGGAUCGAACAGGAUUAGAUACCCUGGUAGUCCGCACAGUAAACGAUGAAUACUUGUUUUCGGCGAUAUAAUGUCGGAGGCAAAGCGAAAGCGAUAAGUAUUCCACCUGGGGAGUACGCCGGCAACGGUGAAACUUAAAGGAAUUGGCGUGG